ACUCCUACGGGAGGCAGCAGUGGGAAUAUUGCACAAUGGGCGCAAGCCUGAUGCAGCGACGCCGCGUGGGGAUGGACGGCCUCGGGCUUGGUUAAACCUCUUUCAAUAGGGACGAAGCGCAAGUGACGGUACCUAUAGAAGAAGCACCGGCCAACUACGUGCCAGCAGCCGCGGUAAUACGUAGGGUGCGAGCGUUGUCCGGAAUUACUGGGCGUAAAGAGCUCGUAGGUGGUUUGUCGCGUUGUCCGUGAAAUCUCACAGCUUAACUGUGAGCGUGCGGGCGAUACGGGCAGACUGGAGUACUGCAGGGGAGACUGGAAUUCCUGGUGUAGCGGUGGAAUGCGCAGAUAUCAGGAGGAACACCGGUGGCGAAGGCGGGUCUCUGGGCAGUAACUGACGCUGAGGAGCGAAAGCGUGGGGAGCGAACAGGAUUAGAUACCCUGGUAGGCUCUG
rnacentral:rRNA from 1 species